GCUUAUCACCAAUAACUAGUAGAAAAAAUGAAAUAGGCACCGCAAAAUGCGCAACGGUUUUUAAAAACCGGUUCGAAAAAAAAUAGGCGGGAUUAAGGGGAAGACUUUUCGCACCGGUUCGGUUCGAACCGGUGCGGAAUCUAUUGUUAAAUAAAAAAAAACGGGUCAAUGUUCUUUCUUUCUCUUUCAUUUCCUCUAUCUUUCCUCCUCUCUCAUCUGCCUCUCUCUCCUCCAUUGAAGCGUACUCGAAAUUCUCCAUUGAAGGGGCUUCUGAGCUUUCCUCAGCACUUUCCUCAAAAUUACGAAUUCAAUUUUCACUUACACGCUCCGCUAUUCUAUCUACCAAUUUUCCAUUGAAGCACACUCCACGUUCUCCAUUGAGGCGCCCUUCUGAGAUUUCUAUCCUCCAUUGAAGCAGCUUCUGAGGGGGACCAAGACUUUCCUGGUAUCAUACCACUGGCAAUCAAAGAUGUCUUCAGCAUUAUACAGGAAACUCCUGGGCGAGAGUUCCUGCUCCGUGUUUCCUAUCUCGAGAUCUAUAAUGAGAUUAUAAAUGAUUUGCUUAAUCCAACUGGUCAGAAUCUAUGUGUAAGAGAAGAUGCCCAGGGAACUUAUGUUGAUUAAAGAAGAGGGGGUGCUAGAAUAGUUAUGCUUCGAGUCUUAUGUUUGCAGCGAGUGAUAGGAAGCAUUCGAAUCAAUGAUCACUUGUGAUCAGCAAGUGUGUUGCUCCAAUGACAGUCCAUUUAUCUACCUAUUUUAUUGCUCUUUUCUUUGAUUUAUAGUUAGUAGAUGAUAUUCUUAUAGGCAGGCAACAAAGGUCUGAUAAUUCUGAAUCGUGGUUGAAUGCCUAUGACAGUCUUUUUCAGAUGAUACAUGCUUGAUGACCUCUACCCCAAAAUUCUAAUCCUUAGCUGCUGAUAAUUAAUUUUACAUUGGUUAAGAUAGGGGCUAGUAAGAUCAAUUAUUGGAUUUAAUAAAAAAUGAGGGUGAUUAUUUUCAGAUCAAAUAAGUCCAGGAGUUUUUAGGAGUAUUCAGGUGUUUUCAGGUGAAUACAACAUAGUCUAUGAUCCCUGGGCAAGCUGGAAGCUCUGGGCCGCUAUAUUGCAAGCUCUGCAGUUGCUUUUAGUUGAGGUCAUAAACAAUGGCUGGCAGAAGUUCAGUUUCUUGGUGUUGUGGAACACCCUAAUCUUGUCAAGCUCAUAGGAUACUGCGCUGUGGAUGGAGAGAGAGGAAUACAGAGAUUGCUCGUUUAUGAGUACAUGCCUAACAAAAGUUUGGAAGAUCACCUUUUUAAGAAGACAUACCCACAUCUUCUUUCUUUUCUUUCUCCAUUAAAAAGGCUAGAAGAGAAAAGAUCAGUGAGAGGAUGAGAAUACUACAAGAUCUUGUCCCUGGGUGUAAUAAGGUUCGACCACUGCUGCUGUUGCCCAUUAAUCAGAGUGUUAUUUGCCCAUUACUGCCUAUAAGCUCAUAAACAACUCUCUUCCCUACCCUAACCCUUUCCUUCUCAAGCUCGACAGUUCUUCCCCUUUCCUUUGCCAAACAGUUUGAUAGAAAAACUAUGGUAAGCAGUUAUAUUAGAGUCGGUCAAGUUGAUGCAAUGUCCGGGUUAAAAAGUAGCAGAAGCAGAAUAGCAAUAGCAGAACAGCAAGCAGAACACAAAGAAGCAGAAGCAGAAUUUAUAUAUUUUUUUUUUUUUUUUUCUAGUGUAAUAUUACAAUUUAUUG